ensembl:lncRNA
GUAAGGAAGCGAGAGCCCGUUCCCAAGGGCUGGACCUGCCCUGGCUGACCGCGGGCUGGGCCAGCGGGCACAGGGCUGAGGACCACAGAGAGGGCUACCCCAGCUUCUAAAAGCAUGGAGAGGGUUCUUGAUAAAGCACUCAAGAUGUGUCUGUAUAAAGGCUGUUAUCCAAGGAAAGCAAAAUAGUUCACAGAGAGCUCAGACUCUGCUUAGACUUGACCUUGGGCCCUGCCAGAUGUGGCCUCCAGGACUGCGACCGGUUCCUCCUCGGGAGGCGGGAGGCCGGGUCCUCAGCUGGGUCAUUGCAAACUGAGGGGCAGGUGUGAUGAGACCAGAUAUAGCUGCUGGCCGGGGAACUCCCGUGUUGGUUACAUGGCUCCAGGCAUUGUCUUCAGAGCAGGGAACUCAUGAGCGGGCAGAGGCUUCCCAGGGGGCUCAGUGGAGAGGCAUCCGCCCACCAAUGCCGGAGAUGAGGCUUUGAUCCCUGGGUCGGGAAGAUCCCCUGGAGAAGGAAAUGGCAACCCACUCCCGUACUCUUGCCUGGAGAGUCCCAUGGACAGAGGAGCCUGGCAGGCUGCAGUCCAUGGGGUCACACAGGGUCGGACAGGACAGAUCAUGCGUGCAUCCGUGUACACGUGAUGCCCACGCGUGAAGCAGUGUCUGGGGUGGUGUCACCUCACUGGCGUCUGUGCUGAGCACGCAGGCGGGUCGUGGAGCCCUCUGCCAGGGAUCUCGCGUGUGGGAAACGCUUGAGAAGACGUGCAGCGACCUUGCAUCAGUGAAUGUCUGAAGCCUUGUGUCCUAAAACGUGGAAACCAAGCAUCCAGUCAACAGCAAGAUUUUAGUUAAAACAGUGUAGGUGCCCGGAGGCCACCUGCUCUGCCGUCCAGAAUGAACCCAGGAGGACAGGCGUCAGUGUGUGGAGCCUAACCUGCCCUCGCCUGCUCACAGCAGCUCUCGGUUUCUUGGGACGCCGUCUCGGGACUUAAAGUCCUAAACAUUUCCGCAGAAUAAAACAUAGUUCUAAAGAACAUGAGAGAAGGACAAGGGGCUCUUUCUUGGCUUCCUGCCGGUGCCUCUGCGGG